UGAACUAGUGAUAUAAUAUAAGCCCAAACAUACAUUCGCAGCAUCGAGAAAACUUUCAGAACAUCAAAUGAAAUUUCCUGAUCAUGUUAUUGUAAAUCAGAUCAAUUAAUUUUUAAGUACCCAAUUCCCUCUUUAAUUUUAAAUUUUUUUUCCCCUCUGUGCCUGUCGUAUAAAUCGAAUCAGAAAGCUAUCUCUUUUCAGGCCUCUAUCGCUCAAAGCCAUGAAAGAUUCACAAGACAUUGAAGAUGGAAUUGCCAACAAAUUGAUGCCACCUUUAAUACAACUAUUGUAGAAUUCUUGUUUCUUGAUAAAAAUGGUGAAGGAGCUGAAAAAGAAAGACGUGGUCAAAGCAUUAAAUGAGGCUUCUCCUCGGGAGAAAUCUCCUUCUCACAUCACAAGGGCUCGACUUAAAGAAAUGGACUUGGAUAGGAAUGGAAAAAUAAGCUUCAGGGAAUUUCCAUAUGCAUUCCUUAAAUGGAUCGGGAUCGACUCUGAUGAUGAUAAUACUUAGAUACAAAAAUAAGAGGAGUGCAGGAUGGCAAAGAAACUCAACUGGGACAUUUUCUGGAGGUUCGACUUAUGCAUUAAACUGUUAAUUGUAUAUAAAUACUGUAGUGUAAUUGUAGUGUAUAAAUACUAUAGUGCAAUUGUAGUGUUUAUCUUCUGUAAUUUGUUUGUUUAUGUGUUCUAUAAUUUCUUCACAUUUAUCUAUGUUACUUCUAUCAGUUUAGU